UCUCACUAAGUUUCCCAGGCUGACCUCAAAACUUUCGACCCUCUGAGUUGCCUCCUGAGUAGCUGGGAUUAUAACCGUAACUGUGACACAGAGGCUCCCUCACUUUAAUCUUUUGCUUCCUUCCCUGAAGAGUUCUCAGACCUCAGGCACCUUGUCCCGCCUUCACCUGUCUUCCACUUACGCACUCUCCAUCCCUUCUGAAACCAAAGAUUGAAGAACACUGCGCCCACCAUUUCUCCAUCUCUGCCCAGGCCCUUAGGCUCCCCUUCCAGGCCACGCCCCAGACAAUUAGGCCACGCCCCUGACAAUGAGGCCACGCCCCUGGCAAUGAGGCCACGCCCCUGACCUAAGCACCUCCCCAAGGCCCCACUUCCUAAAGGUUCACAGCACUACUCAGACCACCUUGGAACCUUCAUACUGCAUACUUCAUUCCUUGGGGGACACGUGUCCAAACCACAGCAGGAGAGGAGUCAGGGCUGCAGAUUGUUCAUUUAGGGGUCACCGGCUGUCAUUGGGCUCAUGAGCCAGAAGUGCCUUCUGCGAUGGACAGACAGCUGCUCCUGCACCCUGACACUGCUGGCACUCCUGCAGCAGGCGGCGCACUGCCAGCCCUUCCACAGUAAGCAGCCUCAGCACAUGGGAAUCCCUGCGCCUUGGGAGAGAUUUACCACCUGCAAGCCUUCGGUCCCCGUCCUGGGGCCUGAGUCCCACACAUUUGUCUUCCUGUGAAAUAACAGUUUAAUAUCAUAGCAACUGUUGUGGGGUUUUGGGGAGAGGGGUGCUCAAUGCAUUUAUCCCAGUGUUUUGCACUUUUUUUUUUUGAAACAGAGCGUCAGGUUGGCCUGGACUCAUUGUGUAGCCCAAGCUGGCCUCAGACUUGAAGUGAUUCUCCUGCCUCAGCCUCCAGAGUGCUAGGGUUACAGGCAUGUGCCACCACAUCCAGCUUGGGCUUUUAUGUCAAUGUAUUAUCCUCAUUUAGUCUUUGAAAUUAACUAUUGCUCUCUUCCCUGCCCUGCCCUGACAAAGACAGGAAAUUCUCAAUUUACAACUGAUUGUGCUCCUAAAAUUCUCCGGCGAGGCUGUUGUUUGGAUGAGGGAACUGCUUUCCCACAUAAACAAAGUUAUAAAUGGCUCGGCUCAGCGAGCCCUCCAGCCUGGCUGACCUAUCUGCGCACUCAGCGACACACGCGUGUGACAGUGAAGACCUGGAAUGCAGUUGGGCUUGGCUGGCCUUGAAUUGAUGACCAUCCUCCUGUCUCAGCCUCUCAAGAGCUGGGAUUUACAGGCUUGUGCCACCACUCCUGGCUCUAAAUCAGGCACAGUGAUCCAAAAUAUUUCCAAAAGGCUGCAGUCUGGGGUGAGGUUGCACAAAGACUCAAGAGGACUCUGCCCGCAGGCUCUGCUAUUUUCUUCUUGGGGUAGGAAGCCAGCUAUUGGACUCUCUGAGGGUCCCCACUGGAAAGCAGAAAUACCAAGGUCUUUCUGGGGUGGGGAGGAUUUAAAGGGACUUUGUGUGUCAAGCAUUGGGUGCAGCCUCUGGAACAAAAUAGGUGCUCAGUAAACGGUGACUGGAAUUGUUAAAAAAUAGUACAAGUUCCACAAGGUCCCAGCCUGCAGAGAAAAGAAGAAAAAAGGCACUGUCACUUCGGCUCGCACCCCUCUCUUCUUUCUCCCUCCACUGCCCCCUUUCACUCUGCAGAGCUGCCUGCACUCAAUCCAGACUAUCACAGAGCUCUGUCCCAGGUCUCACCUGAGGUUCAAAUCCUGCUGUGUGGUGCUGAGAAAAUCGCACACCAUCUCUGAACCUGAGGUCCUCAUUCUAACCAGGAAAGGAAGGCUGACACCUUUCAUUUAUUCAGGGAGUAUCUACUAGGGCUGGCUCUGGGUGGGAAGCUGGGCUGCUGUGGUCCUCACCCUCCAGCAUCCCAUGUAUGUAUAUAACACCCUCCUCAAAUCCAGAACACAAAGAUGGUCCUUCUCUUGUGUGUCAACUGCAGAACCCUUUGUUCAAAUGAAAUCUUAAAAAAAAAAAAGAAGGCUGGUCCGAUGGCAGUGGGUUAUCAGAACUUAUUAACAUUAGUGUCACUAAAGUUGGUAUACCACCUCCCACCACUGCUAAAUUUGACUGGCUUUAAAAAAAAAAAAAAAAAGUGAGAGUUGGGCGUGGUAGCUCAUGCCUCUAAUCCCAGCACUCGGGAGGUCGAGGCAGGAGGAUUGUUG